UGGGGAAUAUUGCACAAUGGAGGGAACUCUGAUGCAGCGACGCCGCGUGAACGAAGAAGGCUUUCGAGUCGUAAAGUUCUUUUAUAUGGGAAGAUAAUGACGGUACCAUAAGAAAAAGCCCCGGCUAACUACGUGCCAGCAGCCGCGGUAAUACGUAGGGGGCUAGCGUUGUCCGGAAUCACUGGGCGUAAAGGGUUCGCAGGCGGAAAUGCAAGUCAGGUGUAAAAGGCAGUAGCUUAACUACUGUAAGCAUUUGAAACUGCAUAUCUUGAGAAGAGUAGAGGUAAGUGGAAUUUUUAGUGUAGCGGUGAAAUGCGUAGAUAUUAAAAAGAAUACCGGUGUCGAAGGCGACUUACUGGGCUCAUUCUGACGCUGAGGAACGAAAGCGUGGGUAGCAAACAGG
rnacentral:rRNA from 3 species